AGAACGAACGCUGGCGGCAUGCCUAAUACAUGCAAGUCGAACGAACACUUCGGUGUUAGUGGCGCACGGGUGCGUAACGCGUGGGAAUCUGCCCUUGGGUUCGGAAUAACAGUUGGAAACGACUGCUAAUACCGGAUGAUAUCGAAAGAUCAAAGAUUUAUCGCCCAGGGAUGAGCCCGCGUAGGAUUAGCUAGUUGGUGAGGUAAAGGCUCACCAAGGCGACGAUCUGUAGCUGGUUUGAGAGAACGACCAGCCACACUGGGACUGAGACACGGCCCAGACUCCUACGGGAGCAGCAGUGGGGAAUUUGGACAAUGGGCGAAAGCCUGAUCCAGCAAUGCCGCGUGCAGGAAGAAGGCCUU
rnacentral:rRNA from 1 species